rnacentral:lncRNA from 1 species
CAUGUAGGGGUGCAGGGAUGGAGAGGGGAGUCACGGGAUAGUCUGGAAGGAUUUUUAAGGGAAGGAGGAGUUGUCAGGGGGCCAAGGACUGGAUCCUGAGAGAUCUAACCCAGCUGGUGGUGGGGAGUAGUAGAGCUUGGUCUGCACAAGUUGGUGCCCACAGCCCCUCCUGGCAGCACCAACUAUCCUCAGACUCUGAGGAAGGCUUCCCCAUCUCUCAGGUAGGUGGGCAGCAGGUGGGCUGAAUGAGAACUCCUGAGGCCCCUGCCCAGGGCCUCAGGCAUGGAGAGGGCAGGUGCCCUAGAGGGCCAAGGGACAGGGCAAGUUAAAGGCAGGUGGUGGAGUGACCUCACAUGAUGAUCCCCCAGCCACACCUUAGGCAUAGGAAGGUGCUGUGAUUCUGGGUGCUCAGGUUCCGGCACUGACCGGGGAGACCUGGUUGAUAUGUGGAUAUGAUUUGGCCACUGUCCACCAGGGGCCUCUGGGGCACCACAGCUCAGCUGAGCAACAUUGCAGGCUGGCUCUGGCUGACUCAAACACAUUCCAUUGCCACUGGGCUCCUUCCCUGCUCCUCUGGGCACCCCCACAUCCAGUGGCCAGAACGAUCCUCUUCCCCCUGCCCCAAAUGAGCCCUCAGGCAGCCCUUAGCACAAGGAAGUCUCCACCUGCCCACCCCCCCUCCUCAAGUGUACCUUCAAACGUAGUGUCACCUACAGUUCUCAAGCCUUGCAUACUCACACAUAUACACCCAUACAACACACAUCACACUCAGACACCACACAGUGCAUGUACUACACACAACACACACACACACACACACUAAGCACCUGUCAUAAACAACAUACCACAAAGUGUAUACCCCCAGACCCUAUGCAGAACCAAUACAAGACAACUGCAUACACAUGCAUACGUGCACACAUGCACACACACACAGGAAACUUGCCCACAUUUUCAUUUUGAGCAAGAACAAAAACAUUGAGAGGUGAAAAGGGACUCUGAUCUGAGAGAAUUGGCCUCCCUCCCCACAUCUUUUCCAGUGGACCUUGGGAAGAAUCAGCAUUUGGGAAGUUGAUCCUGGUCCUUGUGCUGAUCUCAGCCCAGUCAGCUUCCUGUCCCUUGUUUUGUGGGCUGACCAAGCCAGGGGCCCCCCAUCCUAUACCCCACACUUAGGGUGGAGCUGGCCUCCCUAAGCCUCCACCCUUCUUGCCAUCUGCAUGUGCCAAAUUCCUUGCAGGUCCUGCAGUGCAGGGUCACUGGGGAACAUCUCUGCUGAGUGGGCCCUGCCUCUCUGGGGCUCUGGAGUUAGGGGGUGUGGCUCCCUCACAGCCUCUCUUCAUAAGCAGUGAAUCAAGCCUCUGUCAUGGGGUGAGUCACUGGAUCCCCCCAAGAACCCAGGAGGCCAGGCCAGCAGUGUGCCCAUUUUACAAAUGAGGACACGAGGCCCAGAGCACACAGCAGCAGGCCGAAGCUCUGGCUCCUGUCAGUGGGCUGCACCCGUGUUCUCCAUUCCAGCACAAACCACCCUGUCUGCCUCCCUGAGCCAUUCUCUUGGAGCCUCCGGAGGGCACCAGGUGGAUACCUGGCCCAGGCUGGUCCUGCCCAACAGCGGGUGAGGGUGAGCUUGGCUCUCAGCCUGAAGGACAGUCAGUUCCAGAAGCUUAUGGGGUUGAUCCAGCCACUUAACCACCUUGUGCCUCAGUUUCCUCUUCUACCAGCUGGAGAUAAUGGUAACUCUUUCCUUACAGAUUGCAGUGACAUUAAAAAGUUGAUCCAUGUAUGUUAAUCCUGGCUGUUACGAUUACUCCUCACCGUUGACUCCUCCUCCAGACUGGAAGUCUUCCUUCCCUGACACUGGCCUCCUCUAGUGCCCAUGAUCCCAGCUGUAGCCCUAACCCAGACCCCACACUGUUCGAGGCUGUCACUCAUGAU